UUGGAGGAGGGUGGGUGGUGUGCUUGGCUGGCUGAGAGAGCGAUGGGACCCUGUAUAGAGCAGUGGUGGCAGGGGCUAGGAGGAAUGCUGGUACUCAACUGGGACAAGGCACCGAGGACCCUAAUGGAUACUGGGAGUCUUCAAGAAGGGUGAAGACUGGAGGGUUCUCCUUUGAAGGUGAGUACAAGGAUCCACCCACGGCCCUCGGUAGCCUGACCCAAAGUUGGGUAAAUAUAAUUAAGAUACAACAUCCACAGUUCUUGCACUCUUAAGAGAAGAUCCUCUGCUCAUCAGAAGAUUGGCUCAGAAGGAGGCAAAGUUUUGUUACCUUUCUGGUGCUCCAAUUGUGGGGUCAUCGCCCACAUGCAGUCACAAAGAUCUCAAAUGGAAAAGGAAGUUGGGAAAAUUCACCAGAGAGAAAAUUAACUGAGCUAAAACUAACUUGGAUCUAAGCAAGUGAAAGGGAUGGAGAACAACAAAGAUCAAGCAUCAGAGCUUAAUUAUUUAAAUAUGAGGACAAAUUUUUAUUUUUGUUUUUACGUAAGUAAAUAGGGGCCUGUAAAGAAACUGCAGGGCAACAGUGAUUUUAUCAUACAGUGGGAGUCAAUAAGAACUAACAAUCAUCACCUCAGGUACUUGCAGUAAUUCUGAUAUAUUUCUAUACUUGCACAAAUAGGACCAAGGUUUCAGUUCAGCAAAGCAUUAAAGCAUGUGCUUCAGUCCAUCCCUAUUCAGCAAGGCAAUUAAGCCUGUGCUUAACUUUAUGUACGUGCUUUGGGACAUAAGCAUGGGCUUAAACGUUUUGCUGAUUAGGGAUGACUUGCUUGACUGGAAUUCAAAUUCUGAAGUCCUCAUCCACACAAAACUCCUUGAAACUUUCUUGAGUACAGGCUUCAGAGUUGGACCCUCACAGUCCAAUAGCAAAUACUGUAUUUUGAGUGGUGCCUACUGAUAUGCUCAGUGGUGGAUGCUCACUUUGACAAAAC